UUGUUCAUGGGUAGUUGCCUAGCAAUUUCUGAGAAAACACCGGUAUGUGAGAAAAACCAUCUUGCAGACUCGUAAAAUAUGCUUGCCAGCUAAUGCGAUAUGCCUUUGUAUCCCCCCAAGGCCAUUCAACAUUAUAUGAAUAUUGAUCAGUUCUCAAUCAUCUCAUCAAUAUUCCUACAGAUCCUCUUAUAAAGGGCCAACUUUAUUCAGAUGAGGUGACAAUCGAUUCUAUUCGGCUUGUCUGGGAAGAGAUUCCUGACACAGACACAUAUGCCAUUCAACUCGACGACAGAUUAUUCUUCACUCUUCAGACUUCAUAUGUACUGACUGGUUUAAAGGCUGGUACCGAGUAUUCCCCUACUCUUUUGGUCAGGAAGACGGGGAUGACUGAAUUAGAUAAUUUGAAUACCGCCGCUAUUUAUACACGACCAGAACAAGUCUUGUUCUUUGAAGUGAAGGAAAUUUUUGACAACAACGCCACUAUUGUUUGGAGUGGCCCAUCCUCAGACUUUGAUCAAUUUACUCUGUAUACACCAUUCGCCACUCAUGGUAUACAUCCCAAUGAUAAGGAGAUUACCAUACAGGGCAACACAAAUACAGAGUUCCUAGUCUCAUUAUUCACCGUAGCCGGAGGAAAGCCUGGUGAGCCUUCAACACUGAAUGUCAUCAAAGACCCAAGGGAACCUGGGACUAUUGACGUGGAAGAGGUGACCUCGACAUCCAUCUCAGUCACGUGGACUGAGAUUGCAGGAAUUACCGACUACAUUGUCAACCUCAACCUGGCAAGCAACAACACUGAGCUGUUCUCAGAAGUCAUCAGAAGUUCCCUCAAGGCCAGCUUCUCAGGACUGAUGCCGGGAGAGGAGUACAUCAUCAAGAUUGAGUUGCAGUGCGCCGGAGAAGUUCUCUCUCUUCGACAGUUUACAUUACCUCUGGAGCCGGUGUGCGCCAUCUUUAAUUUGGUCACCGAAGACUCUGUCACCCUGCAGUGGUCUCGUCCUGAAAGCCAGCUCUUCGGUUACGAGAUCAUGUACGACGACGGCAGUGGUUCGUACAGUCCUAUCAAUGUGUUCGACAGGAACUCUUUGCAGUUGGAGAGAACGAUCAUGGGUUUGAUGGACGGACCAAGUGUUGAGGUGAACAUCACCACGCUCGCUGGUGCAGGAAUGGCCCAGACCAGAAGCAACCCCGUCAAGAUCAGUCCAAACCCAAGGGAGCCUGGGACUAUUAACGUGGAAGAGGUGACCUCGACAUCCAUCUCAAUCACAUGGACCGAGAUUGCAGGAAUCACCGACUACAUUGUCAACCUCAACCUGGCAAGCAACAACACUGAGCUGUUCUCAGAAGUCAUCAGAAGUUCCCUCAAGGCUAGCUUCUCAGGACUGAUGCCGGGAGAGGAGUACAUCAUCGAGAUUGAGUUGCAGUGCGCCGGAGAAGUUCUCUCUCUUCGACAGUUUACAUUACCUCUGGAGCCAGUGCGCGCUGUCUUUACUUGGGUCACCGAAGACUCUGUCACCCUGCAGUGGUCUCGUCCUGAAAGCCAGCUCGUCGGUUACGAGAUCAUGUACGACGACGGCAGUGGUCCAUACAGUCCUAUCAAUGUGUUCGACAGGAUCUCUUUGCAGUUGGAGAGAACGAUCAUGGGUUUGAUGGACGGACCAGGUGUUGAGGUGAACAUCACCACGCUCGCUGGUGCAGGAAUGGCCCAGACCAGAAGCAACCCUGUCAAGAUCAGUCCAAGUGAGUAACUACAAUGUUAGCUUUAAGCAGAGCCACAAUACAUCUCUUCUCUCAUCAAUCAUCACAAGCCAUGUCGCUCUGGUCUCUGCUUUUAAAAUGAAUCUAUUGUAAUUGUCCACAAAGCUAAACGAUCAGGGGGGAGCGAUUAUCUCUGCAGCUUUCCGCUCGUGGAACAGACUUCCAAAAUCAUUGAAACUGUCGAUCACUUUCAGACAAAUAUAAAAACAUCUAUCUAAUGAAAAGUAUUUUCCCCUAAUUAUCUUUUGUUCUGUUCUAUUUUAAGCACUUUCAGCAUAUUAUUUGUAAUACAUUUAAUCUGAUUAUUAGUAGUGCCUUGAGCACCAUCUGGGUGGAUAUUUUGCGCAUGAUAAAUGUCUGCAUUACUAUUAUUAUUAAUAGUAUGCAGCCGCGAAGCAUAGAUACGUAGAAAGAAAAAAAUCAAUUUAGAAAUUUAUCACAAAACCUGGAAGAAGACACUAUAUGAGAGCAUAUGGCCUCCCCCAGGCAGAUACUGAAGACCGGAAGGCUACCCAAUGUCAUGGCUCUUUUUGUUCUCCUCAAGAUACCUUCUUCUACUGUCUUCACAUUCCUAUAUAUUUCUGAAAUACACUAGGUUCCCUUGGCAGUGCCUUCAACAUUACAACGGUGACAUCGAAUAUCAUCCUCCUCAUUUAGAGCAACCUCACUGCUUUCUUCAUCAUAUCUUUCCAUAAAAUCUUUAGUCAUCCUUUCCCUCUUAUGCCAUCCACUUCCAGAUCCCAUGCUCCUUUCACAGGUUCAUCAUCUUCCCUUCUCAACAUAUGACCCAUCCAUCUCAAAUCUCAAUCCACUUCUCAUUACCACUUCCAACACAGUUUCUUUGCCUUUAUGUCUAUGCAUAUGUCUUAUGUUCUUUGUAACGCUUAUGAUAGUCAAAUUUCUGACUAUUUGUGGACAAUAAAACUUGCAUCUUGAUUCUGAAUCUUGAAUCCUGAACUUUCUAACAGGUCAGAACGACAACAACGAGCCCCACUAGUAAGACAAGUGAUGUUUCUAACGUCACUGGGCAGUCUGUUCCACAUAACUGGAGCCACGUUUCCAAAUGCCCAAUGGCCGUAGUGGGUGGUUUGGCUACAAAGGACUACAAACAGAGGGGAUGCAGAAGGUCGAAAAGGAUAAAGACAUUUCAUUUCAUUUCUUUUUAAUCCUUUCAAAUGCAGUUUAUUUGUGAAGUAUUGUCUAUCUAUUUAAGUUGAUUUGAUGUGUAUAUGUUUAUAUAUUUCUUUGUUGUACGACGUGUUUUACGGGCGCUCUGAAGAACAACCUCUGGCUGAAGUGUGCAACUGUAGUGAAAUAAUAUUGAAAUAAAAUAAAUUAGUUGAAUAAAUAAUAGGCUUUGCUUCAUGGCAAGGAGAUCCUUGAUAUAAUCAAGAGCAGCAUUGUGGAGUGCAUUGAAAACCAGCAUUAGGAUCUUAUAUUUGAUUCUCUUUGACACAGGAAGCCAGAUUGGAAUAACCUGUUCAUAUUUUCUUACUAAUGUCUGAACUUUAGGACUCUCUGUAGUCUUGAGGCUGAGGAAUGCAAGCAAGGACCGCAUUGCAGCAGUCCACUCGCGAUGUGAAAAGGGCAUGGAGGACUUUUGCAGCAUCUGAAAUAGAGAGAUACUUUCAAACUUUGGCAAUGUUCCACAAAUGAUAGUAUGCACUCUUACAGAUAGCUGAGAUAUGUCCAUCCAUGUCCAGGAAUUUGUCAAGAUAGACACCUAAAUCUCUAACAGCAUCUGAAACAGGCAGGACAACACCAUUAAUUGUAAGUUCUAGCAAGUCACAGACAGAAUGCUGGUGAAGAGAGCCGAUGAGUACAAGAUAGUUUUCUCAUUUUUUAGUUUCAGGAAGUUUCUCUCCAUCCAUUGCUGCAUAUCGCUGAUACAAUUCUCAAUACAGAGACAUGCUGAUGUAUGGUCAACAUCUUGCUUGAAUGCCACAUAGAGUUGGGCAUCAUUACCACUUCCACCACAGUUUCUCAGUUUCUUAACCAUUAAUUUACAAAUAUCUAUGUUGUAUGUAACCCUAUGGAAGUCAUGUUCCUGACCAUAUACAUGGCAUUAAAGAUUGCUUCUUGAAUCCUGAACAACAAGCCACACCAACACCAACCGUCUCCAACACCAACCUUCAGGUCAUCAUCUGGCUGGAUGCUACUACCAACGGUAGGCAAGUAUGUCUGAAGGAACUCUGCAGCACCCUAUGAAGUGACAUGCUCAUGUGUCUCCCAACCAACCAGAAGUGCCCUCUGUUCUCCACCUUCGAGGGGCUGGUCCCCGGCAGUAGAUAUGUGGUCUACGUAGAAUACAACGACGGGACAAUGGAGGAUGUCAUUUUCACGCCAACAAGUCUUUCCCAUCAUCUCUGACUACAUCUAUUUUAGCGCUGUCAUCUCGGUGCUUUAGUACUGGGCGUGAUGCAGGCUGUCAUCCAGAAAGUAGUCUGGUGGAAGCAACGCACUAUGAAGACAUGGAAUCUCUCAAUGCAGCAGGC